rnacentral:tRNA from 1 species
GCCCGGGUGGUGAAACUGGUAGACACCCGAGACUUAAAAUCUCGUGUCAGUAAUGGCGUACCGGUUCGAUUCCGGUCCCGGGCACCA